rnacentral:tRNA from 1 species
CAGAGAAUAGUUUAAUUAAAAAUUUUAAUUUUGGAGAUUAAUGAUGGAAUAAAAAUUCUUUCUCUGA